rnacentral:rRNA from 1 species
UACUCGCGGUCCAAGUCGCAGCCAUCUUUAUUGGGUCUAAAAUAUCCGUAGCUUGCUCUGUAAGUUUCUCGUGAAAUCCUACAUCUUAAGUGUAGGGCGUGCAAGAAAUACUGCUUAGCUAGAGACCGGGAGACGUGAAGAGUACGAUAGAAGUAGUGGUAAAAUACGUUAAUCUCUAUCGGACUUACAAUAGCGAAGGCACUUCACGAGCACGGUUCUGACAGUGAGGGAUGAAGGCUAGGGGCGCAAAAGG